rnacentral:rRNA from 1 species
CAGCAGCCGCGGUAAUACGAAGGGUGCAAGCGUUACUCGGAAUUACUGGGCGUAAAGCGUGCGUAGGUGGUGGUUUAAGUCCGUUGUGAAAGCCCUGGGCUCAACCCGGGAAUUGCAGUGGAUACUGGGUCACUAGAGUGUGGUAGAGGAUAGUGGAAUUUCCGGUGUAGCAGUGAAAUGCGUAGAGAUCGGAAGGAACAUCUGUGGCGAAGGCGACUAUCUGGGCCAACACUGACACUGAGGCACGGAAGCGUGGGGAGCAAACAGGAUUAGAUACCCCGGUAGUCCCUGUCUCUUAUAC